CUGAGCAAAAAGCAAAGAUAUAGCAAAAACCUCCAUCCAGUAGCAACAAUUUUCUUCCCCAACCCAUCAACUGCUUUCUUCUAUUUGAAUCUUCAUCCUCACAAGCAUCAUCUACCGCAAAAUCAUCUGCCGAGUAGCUGCAGCCACCUUUUUGGGGCGUCUUUCAUUAUUCGAAUCCGAGCCGGACUCAUUAGAGUUAACAGCUUUUCCAAGCCUUUGCCUCUUAGGAAACUGGUUCUACUCCCCUAAUAUUUAAAUCUAUAAUUUGAGGUCCAAGAUUAAGAAAAUCAGCAAAGUUAUUGCUGCUAUGAGUAGAAAAUUCAGGACCAACAAGGGGGGCAGUAGGCGGCGGAGGUGCAUAAGUUGGAAUUGGAGGAGAUGGCAGAUUUUGUGGUGGCAUAUUUGUGUAUUGAGGAAUCGGGGAAGUGUUGGGAUCAAGAAAGGUAAAGUAAAGAAAGUGGGAUGGUCCACUAUGCAUUUUCGGAGUAAACCCUUGAUAAGAACAAAACAUAUUCAGCAGAUUGCUAGAUAUGGCUUGCAAAGAAGUAGUAUAAAUUAAUUCUUGCAUAUCUAUAUGUUCUGCUCUAUCAAACCUUUCUUUUUGGCUCUCCCUCAAUUGUCUCACUUCAUUUCUU
rnacentral:lncRNA from 1 species